rnacentral:rRNA from 1 species
UACAGAGGUCUCAAGCGUUGUUCGGAUUCAUUGGGCGUAAAGGGUGCGUAGGUGGCGCUGUAAGUCGGGUGUGAAAAUUUCGGAGCUUAACUCCGAAACUGCAUUCGAUACUGCGGUGCUUGAGGACUGGAGAGGAGACUGGAAUUCAUGGUGUAGCAGUGAAAUGCGUAGAGAUCAUGAGGAAGACCAGUGGCGAAGGCGGGUCUUCUGGGCCGAUACUGACGCUGAGGAGCGAAAGCGUGGGGAGCGAACAGG